rnacentral:tRNA from 1 species
GCCCCAAUAGCUCAAUGGACAGAGCGAGGCUCUCCUAAGGCCGCGAUCCGGGUUCGAGUCCCGGUUGGGGCU